rnacentral:lncRNA from 1 species
CACCCUUUAGACUUCCAAUGCUUCUGGCUUUAAUAUUCUGUGCUAGAUUCACAGAGCUCCUCUACAGAUGCUAAGCGUUCAAUCCUGAAGGCUCCACUUCAUCAUCAGGGGUCCUUCAGCAGCCAUCAUUAUCCCAUGCCAACUGCCCUCUUCGUUUGCCUACUGACAACCAGUGUCCUUUCCUAAAAUGGGACUUCAGAGGGAAAGGAAGAUAUGUUUUACAACAUGGUUUAUGAUAUGUUUCAUGACAUUUCUAAUGCUUGAAGAAUUCAACACUUUGCAGAAACUCUUCUGGAUCACCUAUGCUAAAAGUUUAUUCACACCAAGAUUUCAGCCAGCUGCAACAUACUUGUCUUUCUGGAGUUAUUGUCUGUCUUAUUCAUGUGAAGACCAGAUGUGUGGAUCCUGAUGUCUCUUACACUUGAAUCAUCUGCAUUUGCAAUUGCAAAUAUCACAAAAGCACCUUCUGGUUGAAGGCUUCUCAUGUCAAACUUUCUUGAUUUCCACACUCAAGACAGAGGAAUGCUGUACCAUCUGCAAGCCUUGGGCACUUUGCCAGUAAAAUUGCUGUCUGAAAUAAUUUCCAGCUUCACAUUGAAUUUUUCAC